GGCAUGAUGGCUCAGUGGUUAGAGCACCCGCCUCAUGAACGGGAGGUCGUGGGUUCGAACCCCGGCUGAGUCA
rnacentral:tRNA from 1 species